rnacentral:rRNA from 1 species
AGAGUUUGAUCAUGGCUCAGGAUGAACGCUAGCGGCAGGCCUAAUACAUGCAAGUCGAACGCUCAGUAGCAAUACUGGGAGUGGCGCACGGGUGCGUAACGCGUACACAAUCUACCUCUAAGCGGGGGACACCUCCUGGAAACGGGGAUUAAUACCGCAUAAUAUGCCGAAGUCGCAUGACUUUGGUAUUAAAGCAGCAAUGCACUUAGAGAUGAGUGUGCGUCCCAUUAGGUAGUUGGUGAGGUAACGGCUCACCAAGCCUAUGAUGGGUAGCCGGUCUGAGAGGAUGGUCGGCCACACGGGCACUGAGACACGGGCCCGACUCCUACGGGAGGCAGCAGUAAGGAAUAUUGGUCAAUGGUGGAAACACUGAACCAGCCAUGCCGCGUGGAGGAAUAAGGUCCUACGGAUUGUAAACUCCUUUUGACGAGGAAGAAAAUGUUAGAUUUAUCUAAUUUUGCCGGUACUCGUAGAAUAAGCACCGGCUAACUCCGUG